UUGCAAUUUGCUUGUGGUUCGUCCAGAGAUAAUCCCAUUUUCCUCCAUGAAAGGAGUCAAAGGAUGAAAUUUUUUCUUAAACUCUG